UAAUUGACGGCAUUCAAAGGAAUUGACGCAUCAUACAUCCAUCGAACUAUAUCCUUACAUGCUUUCUUUUGCAAUUGCUUUUUACAUGCCUCAUUAAUAGUGGUUUGCUUCAGCUUUGAAUUUUUUUUAUCUUGCACCGCCUUUGCAACACUUUUGGCAAAAUAUAAAUCUAUUAGACCCUUUGUCCUUGCCUUCUUUUGAACCUUACUAUUUCCUUUUGAGCCUCUAAGAAUUGUCCCAACAUCAUCUUCAUCUUCGUCAUCUCCAAGAAUUUCAACAUCCUCAUAAUCAGGCAAUUUAUCUAAGGUCUUUGCUGAAGCCUUUUGCUGCAUAUACUCUUGUAGCUCUUCACGCACAUGUGUUGGACACUUCUUACACAUUGUAGCAUUUCGAAAUCCUCCAACUAAAUGCUGUUUAGCUCGAAAUAUCCCUCCUUUUGUAACUUUGCU
rnacentral:misc_RNA from 1 species